UGCAGUCGAGCGAUGAUGCCCAGCUUGCUGGGUGGAUUAGUGGCGAACGGGUGAGUAACACGUGAGUAACCUGCCCUUGACUCUGGGAUAAGCGCUGGAAACGGCGUCUAAUACCGGAUACGACCUGCCCCGGCAUCGGGUGCGGGUGGAAAGUUUUUCGGUCAAGGAUGGACUCGCGGCCUAUCAGGUAGUUGGUGAGGUAAUGGCUCACCAAGCCGACGACGGGUAGCCGGCCUGAGAGGGUGACCGGCCACACUGGGACUGAGACACGGCCCAGACUCCUACGGGAGGCAGCAGUGGGGAAUAUUGCACAAUGGGCGAAAGCCUGAUGCAGCAACGCCGCGUGGGGGAUGACGGCCUUCGGGUUGUAAACCUCUUUUAGUAGGGAAGAAGGGCUUCGGCUUGACGGUACCUGCAGAAAAAGCACCGGCUAACUACGUGCCAGCAGCCGCGGUAAUACGUAGGGUGCAAGCGUUGUCCGGAAUUAUUGGGCGUAAAGAGCUCGUAGGCGGUUUGUCGCGUCUGCUGUGAAAACCCGAGGCUCAACCUCGGGCCUGCAGUGGGUACGGGCAGACUAGAGUGCGGUAGGGGAGAAUGGAAUUCCUGGUGUAGCGGUGGAAUGCGCAGAUAUCAGGAGGAACACCGAUGGCGAAGGCAGUUCUCUGGGCCGUUACUGACGCUGAGGAGCGAAAGCGUGGGGAGCGAACAGGAUUAGAUACCCUGGUAGUCCACGCCGUAAACGUUGGGAACUAGAUGUGGGGACCUUUCCACGGUCUCCGUGUCGCAGCUAACGCAUUAAGUUCCCCGCCUGGGGAGUACGGCCGCAAGGCUAAAACUCAAAGGAAUUGACGGGGCCCGCACAAGCGGCGGAGCAUGCGGAUUAAUUCGAUGCAACGCGAAGAACCUUACCAAGGCUUGACAUAUACCGGAAACUUCCAGAAAUGGUUGCCCCGCAAGGUCGGUAUACAGGUGGUGCAUGGUUGUCGUCAGCUCGUGUCGUGAGAUGUUGGGUUAAGUCCCGCAACGA
rnacentral:rRNA from 1 species